rnacentral:rRNA from 1 species
AACGUAGGAGCCUAGCGUUAUCCGAAUUCACUGGGCGUAAAGCGCGUGCAGGCGGUUCGGUAAGUUGGAUGGGAAAUCUCCUGGCUCAACUGGGAGAGGACAUUCAAGACUGUCGGACUAGAGGACGGUAGAGGAAGGUAGAAUUCCCGGUGUAGUGGUGAAAUGCGUAGAUAUCGGGAGGAAUACCAGUGGCGAAGGCGGCCUUCUGGGCCGUUCCUGACGCUCAGACGCGAAAGCUAGGGGAGCAAACGGG